rnacentral:lncRNA from 1 species
AUGGGGGUUUAGAACCCGUGACCUCUUGGCCGUCGGGCCCGCGUUCCAUCCCCCAGGCCGCGCGGGGCCUCAACCCUUGACCUUCAGACUCCCAGGCUCCGUCCACUGGGCCGUGCCAGGCCCCAACCCUUGACCUCUGACUCCCAGGCUCCAUCCACUAGGCCGUGCCAGGCUCCGUGCCAGGCCCCAAGGCCCGCCUCCGGCCCGGUGCUGCCAGCAGACAGAGAGUUAACGCUGCCCCGGCUCUAUGUUAAUGAGCUGCCGGCUCUUAUAGGGAGGCCGGCUUGGCGAGAGGGAGGGAGGGAGGGAAGGAGGGAGCGAGGGAGCUUCGGCGCUCCGGCGGGCAGUCCUCGUCUCCGCCUCGCCAACGCCGCCGGGGGCAUCCGCCUCCCGUGACAGUCCGGGGCCGGAGGGAGGACGGGGCGCGGGGCCUGGGAACUCUUCCUCCCGCCGGGAGGACAGCGAGACGGCGAGCCCCGGGGGGGCACCGGGCAAGGAAAAAAAGGAAAAAAAACCAAAACCCCAACCCGGCUCGGAGGAGGAAAUGAGACGGUGAAAGCGGCAGAGGAGAAACCAGGGGAGGAAGCACCGGGCUUCGCUGAUGUCAGAGGAGCCGGAAAAGUCGAGGUGGAAAAUGCCCUGAGACGGACGGGGCUGGGAUUUUUUUUUUUUCCAUUUUUUCCGAGGCCGAGGAUCCCCCCCCUCCACCUCCCCUCUCCUCUUCCCCUCUUUCCCCCCUUCCCCUCCCCAGACUGCGUCCCGGGGCCGGCAGAGGAAAGGAGGCGAGGGGGACGGACGGACGGAAGGACCGACGGGCCGGCAGGAGCCGGCGGUCGGGCCGGCCGGAGCCGGGAGACUUUAGGAAUACAGAUUAGUGGCUGGUGGCCGGUCGUGGAUUUUAACGAAUCGGGGGCCCCGUGUGGAUUUCCUCGUCUCCGUGAUUCCGAGCCGCGGCGGGGCCGAGGGUGCAGCCCCCCACCUCCCUCCCGCCCCCCGCCCCUUCCCCCCUCCCCCGGCAGCCCAGGAGGCCGGGCCGCCCGGCGCCCAGACGGACGGAAGACCCGGUGCACGGACGGACGGACGCCGUCAGAUCGGAAGAAACACACAAGCAGGAGGGGAGGCCGGUGACACGGUUAAAAUAUACAAGGCAGCAGCUGGCAGCAGCCCGAGAGACCCGAUUCAGGUAAUAUGAAAUAUUUAUGGGGCUGGCUUGUUGCUGUGUUUUGUUUUUUAUCCUCUCUAUUAUGCCCCCCUGCCUACAAACACCUCCCUGGCAUGGGAGCCGGUGCGGGGGUCUGGGGAGGAGGCGGGGAUCCAGUUUGCCAUCUCCUCCGAAGCCCCCGCCUAGCUGUCUGCUGAGUUGUCACACACAGCUGUCUCCGCACACAUGGGGCAUAAUAUAUGUCUGUCCAUCAUUGCAUAUGGAGGGGCUGGGGGGGGGGGGGCUUCAAGCCAAUCUCUCCAGCCCCUGCCCCUCAAUCCCAAUCAUAAAGAAACCAGGGCAUUGUCCUACAGUCUGUUAACUAGAAGUAAUUCGGGACUGCCCAGUCUGUGGAAGCACCGCAUACGGUCUAUAACUCAUCCGUCCAACCCUCCCCCAACCCCCUACACACCUCACCCCACUCUCCUUGGGGCAUUCUGCUAAUAAUUCAUUAGGUUUGAAUUUUCAGGGUUCUUCCUUAGUUUAUGCUUGAUUCAAACAGUGAUGAUGGACCAAAAUCCCUCCAGGGAAAUAGUUUUUUCACUGUUACCAGAUUCCAUGCCUAAUUAGGGGAUAUGUAGAUUGCUGGGGUCCUGUCCAUUUUCACUUUCAGUUCUGAGGGUGUUCAUAUCUUCACUAGCUCAGAAGGCAACAGAAGUUUG